GUUUGACCUCGAAUCAGGUAGGGAUACCCGCUGAACUUAAGCAUAUCAAUAAGCGGAGGAAAAGAAACCAACAGGGAUUGCCUCAGUAACGGCGAGUGAAGCGGCAACAGCUCAAAUUUGAAAUCUGGCCCUCUCAGGGUCCGAGUUGUAAUUUGCAGAGGGCGCUUUGGCGAUGGCUGUGGUCUAAGUUCCUUGGAACAGGACGUCACAGAGGGUGAGAAUCCCGUACGUGGCCGCCAGCCUCCGCCGUGUAAAGCCCCUUCGACGAGUCGAGUUGUUUGGGAAUGCAGCUCAAAAUGGGAGGUAAAUUCCUUCUAAAGCUAAAUACUGGCCAGAGACCGAUAGCGCACAAGUAGAGUGAUCGAAAGAUGAAAAGCACUUUGGAAAGAGAGUCAAAAAGCACGUGAAAUUGUUGAAAGGGAAGCGCUUGCAGCCAGACUUGCCUGUAGUUGCUCACCUGGGCUCUUGCCCUGGGUAUUCUUCUGCGGGCAGGCCAGCAUCAGUCCGGGCGGUUGGAUAAAUGCCUGCUAAAUGUACCUCUCUUCGGGGAGGACUUAUAGGGUAGGUGGCAUACGACCAGCCUGGAUUGAGGUCCGCGCAUCUGCUAGGAUGCUGGCGUAAUGGCUGUAA
rnacentral:rRNA from 1 species